UUCAAUUCAAUUUUAUUUCAAUUAACUGCACUGCGCCUGCCGAGCGACUUCACAACCGGUCUCCCCAGGUAAACGGCAGAAACCACUGGUUCACAGACCGUAUAAGCCAAGAAGGCAGGAGUCAGGUCAGUAGGCAGUUAAAGGUAGAAUCAGCAAUAAGGCUCACUCCGGAGCACGUAGCAUUGCCGUCGAGUUCAGCUCGUGUCGAAAAAAGGAAAAAAAACUUUAUACCAGUGAAAAAGCGAAAUGAUAAAAAAUAUUUAGUGAAUGUAAUUCAAAGAAUAGAGUGGAAAAAUAUUUAGUGUAAAGCAAGAAAGAAGGACAAGAGGAAAAAGAGGGAGGGUGAGAGAGUGAGAAGAAGAGAGAGACCUUACGGUGUAAGGGGAGAGGGUAGCGAAGGCAUAAGACGCAGGGAUGUCGAAAUGAAAUUAUUUAAGGUACGGCAAUUAAGCACCCAUACUGGAGAAGAAAAAUCGCGCCAAGAGGCGUAUGAGAAAUCCUGGGACGGUGGACAUGCAUAACAGCACUAUAAGAACUAUCAAUUGCACUGAGUAAAACUUAAGAAAAUUGAACAAAGAAUCGUGGAAGCGCUUUCCUGUACAAAACGUGGGCAAAAGAAAAAUGCUAAAGGCCAAAAAGAAAAUCCCACAAAGUAGGAGAAACGCCUACCAAGAAACUAACCAUAUCGGCAAAUAAUAACAAAA